rnacentral:rRNA from 1 species
GUAGGGACCAAGCGUUGUUCGGAUUUACUGGGCGUAAAGGGCGCGUAGGCGGCUUGACAAGUCACUUGUGAAAUCUCCGGGCUUAACUCGGAACGGCCAAGUGAAACUGUCAUGCUAGAGUGCAGAAGGGGCAAUCGGAAUUCUUGGUGUAGCGGUGAAAUGCGUAGAUAUCAAGAGGAACACCUGAGGUGAAGACGGGUUGCUGGGCUGACACUGACGCUGAGGCGCGAAAGCCAGGGGAGCAAACGGGAUUAGAUACCCCGGUAGUCCUGGCCCUAAACGAUGAAUACUUGGUGUCUGGAGUAAAUAGUGCUCCGGGUGCCGUCGCUAACGUUUUUAGUAUUCCGCCUGGGGAGUACGCUCGCAAGAGUG